rnacentral:rRNA from 1 species
GACGAACGCUGGCGGCGUGCUUAACACAUGCAAGUCGAACGGCAAGGCCCUGCUUUUGUGGGGUGCUCGAGUGGCGAACGGGUGAUUAACACGUGAUUAACCUGCCCUUGACUUUGGGAUAACUUCAGGAAACUGGGGCUAAUACCGGAUAGUAGCUCCUGCUGCAUGGUGGGGGUUGGAGAGUUUCGGCGGUUUGGGAUGGACUCGCGGCUUAUCAGCUUGUUGGUGGGGUAGGGGCUUACCAAAGCUUUGACUGGUAGCCGGCCUGAGAGGGUGACCGGCCACAUUGGGACGGAGAGACGGCCCACACCAAUACGGGAGGGAGGAGUGAGGAAUAAUGCACAAUGGGCGGAAGCAGGAUGCAGCAACGCCGCGUGCGGGAUGAAGGCCUUCGGGUUGGAAACCGAUUUCGCAUGGGACGAAGCGUGAGUGACGGUAAUGGGUAAAGAAGCACCGGCUAACUACGU